AAGAAUUCUUAUUAACUCUGCGGUUAAGUUCAUACAAACUGUACCAUGGAUACAGAAGUGUGACAUCUCCUGGAAAAUGAUGAACUUAGAGUGGGUGAUUUGGACUCCACAGACCCUAGAAAUGGAUGAAAAGGUCUGGGACCCUGACAAAAGGUGAAGACAUUAGCACUGGAUAAGCUACCACAGAAAGUCAUUAAUGGAGAGCACAUCCAGUCUUGGUGGUGACAUAUGCACAGCAGUUUGACAUCCAAUUCUCAUUAUCAGUAUUUCUCAGCACAGCUCUUCUCCUACUGAUUCUCACUACCUCUUCUUGCCAACACAGUCCCAAUGAACUGUUUAUUUGCUCCAACAGAGUGAUGAAGAUACCAGAAGAACCUGUUGAGUUUUGCAUAACUACUUUUUCUCUGCAUGUUUUUUGAUAGUCAGUGUUCCAUUAUUUCUUCUUAAGAAGUUGUUAUAGAAAAUAAAAGACAAAAAGAGAAAAAGAAACAAAUUAAAGGAAAAAAAAACGAGAAAAAAAAUCGGAGAAACCAUAAAAGAUCACAUUGAGAAAAACAGACUACAGCAAGCAUUUUUAAAAUUAAUAAGAAUUUUAUCAGAAAUUUUUACUUCAAAGUCAUGUGAAGGCCAGGAAGGAAAAAGAAGAAUGAGUCAGAGAAGUCAGAAUAACAUCAAAGUCUAAUCCUGGAAAAUGAAGAGGAUCUUGAGAAGCUCUUCACCUUUAAGCUGUGCACAAAUGAUAGGUGAAUUGCAUGAUGAAUGCAUUUAGAAUAAUCUAAUAUUUAUGAAGAUUCAUGAAUUAAGAUUCUGUUACUGUUCACACAUUUUCAGAAUAAAAUAUUGAUACAUAGAGUUUUCACUGGAACUCUCCCUACAUGGUUCAGGCUUUCAAACAUUCAUUUCUUCUGAA